rnacentral:rRNA from 1 species
UACGUAGGGGGCAAGCGUUGUCCGGAAUCAUAGGGCGUAAAGAGCGUGUAGGCGGCCAGAUAAGUCCGCUGUGAAAUCUCGAGGCUCAACUUCGAGCUGUCGGUGGAAACUGUCUGGCUAGAGUCCGGAAGAGGAGAAUGGAAUUCCUGGUGUAGCGGUGAAAUGCGCAGAUAUCAGGAAGAACACCCGUGGCGAAGGCGGUUCUCUGGGACGGUACUGACGCUGAGACGCGAAAGCGUGGGGAGCGAACAGG